rnacentral:lncRNA from 1 species
CAGCCACCUAGGCAAGGAGGCGUCUGAGGCUAAGACAGGCACUGAGUGUGGCCGACAGGCAGAGGUGGAUCCAAUACUCUGGUACCGACAGGAGACAGAGCCCCGAAUGUGGACAUAUGUUUAUCCUGCCAAAUACUCAGACAUCAAGUCAGAGGAUGAUCGGUGGAAAGAGGAACGGGACCGAAAAUUAAAGGAAGACAGGAGCCGGAGUAAGGACUCUGUUCCCAAGGAAGAUGGGAAGGAAAGCACAAGUAGUGACUGCAAGCUACCCACAUCUGAGGAACCCCGCCUUGGAAGCAAGGAGCCCCGACCAGGUGUCCAUGUGCCUGUGUCCUCCCCGCUCACCCAGCACCAGUCCUACAUCCCCUACAUGCAUGGCUACUCUUACAGCC